rnacentral:tRNA from 1 species
GCGGAAGUAGCCAAGCCAGGCCAAAGGCGCCAGACUUAAGGUCUGGAAGCAGUUCGUGGGAUCGAAGCCCACCUUCCGCACCA